rnacentral:rRNA from 1 species
AGCAGCCGCGGUAAUUCCAGCUCCAAUAGCGUAUAUUAAAGUUGUUGCAGUUAAAAAGCUCGUAGUUGAAUUUCGGAAUCAGUAUGUUGGUCGUGCUUCGGUACGUACUGUCAUUACUGGUUUCUACCUUCUGAAGAACCUUGAUGUCAUUAAUUUGGUGUCUUGGGGAAUCAGGACUGUUACUUUGAAAAAAUUAGAGUGUUUAAAGCAAGCAUACGCUUGAAUACAUUAGCAUGGAAUAAUGAAAUAGGACGUUUGAUUCUAUUUUGUUGGUUUCUAGGAUCGACGUAAUGAUUAAUAGGGAUAGUUGGGGGCAUUAGUAUUCAAUUGUCAGAGGUGAAAUUCUUGGAUUUAUUGAAGACUAACUACCGCGAAAGCAUUUGCCAAGGAUGUUUUCAUUAAUCAAGAACGAAAGUUAGGGAUCGAAGACGAUCAGAUACCGUCGUAGUC